GGACAAUGGACGCAAGUCUGAUCCAGCAACGCAGCGUGAAGGACGAAGGUUUUCGGAUUGUAAACUUCUUUUGCAGGGGAAGAAAAAAAUGACGGUACCCUGUGAAUAAGCCACGGCUAACUACGUGCCAGCAGCCGCGGUAAGACGUAGGUGGCAAGCGUUACUCGGAAUUACUAGGCGUAAAGCAUUCGUAGGCGGAAGUUUAAGCCUGCUGUGCAAUCUCUGGGCUCAACCCAGAAACUGCAGCAGAAACUGGAUUUCUUGAGUGAGGCAGAGGAAAGUGGAAUUCCUGGUGUAGCAGUGAAAUGCGUAGAUAUCAGGAGGAACACCGGUGGCGAAGGCGGCUUUCUGGGCCUUUACUGACGCUGAAGAAUGAAAGCUAGGGGAGCAAACGGGAUUAGAUACCCCGGUAGUCCUAGCCGUAAACGAUGAUAACUAGGUGUGGGAGGUAUCGACCCCUUCCGUGCCGACGCUAACGCAUUAAGUUAUCCGCCUGGGGAGUACGGCCGCAAGGUUAAAACUCAAAGGAAUUGACGGGGGCCCGCACAAGCGGUGGAUUAUGUGGUUUAAUUCGACGCUACGCGAAGAACC
rnacentral:rRNA from 1 species